rnacentral:tRNA from 1 species
UGGCUCAGUUGGUUAAGCAUCUGACUUGGGCUCAGAUCGUGAUCUCACGGUCCGUGGGUUCAAGCCCCAC